ensembl:lncRNA
CUCAUUUCGAAUAUUUCGAAUUCAUUAACAUUAGAACAAGGUUAAGAACAAAUUCACGUGCGCAUGCAUGUGUUGCGAAUUAGGCAAAAAUUGUUCAUGAGAAGUUCUCCUGUGCGUAUAAAGAUGAAUAAUCAAUGCAAUUGUUAGUGAGGGAGACCCAGUGAUUUUAAGGUUAUUAUAAAACCAAACACGCCGACUCAAGCCCUUAUUUUUAUUGCGUAUUUACGAUUUCACACUGCUGUCAGAUAUCCAAAUGUGGGUAAAUUAGUGGGACAGUGUAUAAUGACUUUCAUGAAGGUUUUGUUUAAGGUCAGGACCCUUGUGUGUGUUGACACAGCUGCCAUGGAGGCACUGCGGAAGAAAGACGUGGGGAAGUUUAUGUAAAGCCAGCCGAGGGUGCAGGGUCAGGGCCAAUCAUGGCAUGUAUACAUUUGUGCAUUAAAUGCAAAUUCUGGCAUUUUAGCUCCUUCACGACAGACAUAUUGGCAUCCUGGAUUUAGUAUUUCUGUUGCAUUAGCAAAGUAGGGUGAAUAAGGUUAUGUUUUUGUUAGGUGUGCCAGACCACUUGAUGGGGGUAGGGCGGUUGCUACCUGCAUUUCAAGGCUCUUUUGUCCACAUUCAUCUCUCAACAUGGCCCCUCAGUGCUGUCACUGGAGCGGCGCCUGUCUGUAGCGUUACAAACUAAAGAAGGGAAGUUAGGAUUGCGUGCUCAUCAGUUCUUGAGCUCAACCACUUGCGACCUUUGUCCUUCACAGACUUCCUGUAGGUGUGUGUAUUAGAAUAUCUAGUCUCUGAAAUGCAAAAUAACCACAAAGUGGGUCAUGCAUUAGAUGGAACUAAGAAUUUUCUUUGCCAACUCCUUGUUUGCACACCAAAAUGUUACAAAGGGAGUUACAAAAGAGUUUCGUUUUACUUUGCAUUGCUGUUAGAUCAUUUAGUGCUCUGGAUUCCAAAUUCUAAUCACACAAUAUUUGCCUGUAGCCAUCCAGACUCCAUCAAAUCAAUCUUAACAGCAGGCCGUCCAGCGAUCUAUUCAGAUAUAUCAAGAAUCUAUGAGACACACUGUAAUUAUCUGUUAACUUUAAACCUUAUGAUGCUCGACUGCUCAAUCGUCUUCUCCGCUCCACCCAUGGAGCUGGAUUAGCAUCUAGAUGUCACAAAAUGAUGGGGCUCACCUACGGGAAAUGGUCCAUGAAGACACAAGCUGAUAUGUCCUGUAUCUACUGAUCACUCUGGCUCGAUUGACAUUUCAGUCCCUUUGUCUGCGACUGUCUACGAUGAAACGGAAGGGAAAUUUCUAAACUUGGCAGUGAUGACAUUUGGAUGAAUGGAGCUGGCUUUGCAUCAGGUGACUGGAAAUAUUCAAUCGUUUCACAGCACUGCACUUUUAGUGCUGUCCACUGCAACUAAAGCAAAAUUUAGUUUUAAAAUGACAGACAGUAUUAAUAAUAAAUAUUUGUUUUUUACUUUUUUUUUUCUUUUA